CCUCCCCCUAGAAGCACUGCAGAUGUGGCUGCUGUGUCACAUAAGCACCAGUAGAUGUCAGAGAGGAGAGAGCCUAUGCCUACACUCAGUGUUCUGACCUGUGAACCACUGAAUGAUUAGUAACCUAGCAUU